rnacentral:rRNA from 1 species
GAUGAACGCUGGCGGCGUGCCUAAUACAUGCAAGUCGAGCGAACGGACGAGAAGCUUGCUUCUCUGGUGUUAGCGGCGGACGGGUGAGUAACACGUGGAUAACCUACCUAUAAGACUGGGAUAACUUCGGGAAACCGGAGCUAAUACCGGAUAAUAUUUUGAACCGCAUGGCUCAAAAGUGAAAGACGGUCUUGCUGUCACUUAUAGAUGGAUCCGCGCUGCAUUAGCUAGUUGGUAAGGUAACGGCUUACCAAGGCAACGAUGCAUAGCCGACCUGAGAGGGGGAUCGGCCACACUGGAACUGAGCCACGGUCCAGACUCCUACGGGAGGCAGCGGUGGGGAAUCUUCCGCAAUAGGCGAAAGCCUGACGGAGCACCGCCGCGUGAGUGAUGAGGGUCUGCGGAUCGUAAAACUCUGUUAUUAGGGAAGAACAUAUGUGUAAGUAACUGUGCACAUCUUGACGGUACCUAAUCAGAAAGCCACGGCUAACUACGUG